rnacentral:rRNA from 1 species
CCUACGGGAGGCAGCAGUAGGGAAUCUUCCACAAUGGGCGAAAGCCUGAUGGAGCAACGCCGCGUGGGUGAAGAAGGUCUUCGGAUCGUAAAACCCUGUUGUUAGAGAAGAAAGUGCGUGAGAGUAACUGUUCACGUUUCGACGGUAUCUAACCAGAAAGCCACGGCUAACUACGUGCCAGCAGCCGCGGUAAUACGUAGGUGGCAAGCGUUAUCCGGAUUUAUUGGGCGUAAAGGAAACGCAGGCGGUCUUUUAAGUCUGAUGUGAAAGCCUUCGGCUUAACCGGAGUAGUGCAUUGGAAACUGGGAGACGUGAGUGCAGAAGAGGAGAGUGGAAUUCCAUGUGUAGCGGUGAAAUGCGUAGAUAUAUGGAAGAACACCAGUGGCGAAAGCGGCUCUCUGGUCUGUAACUGACGCUGAGGUUCGAAAGCGUGGGUAGCAAACAGGAUUAGAUACCCCGGUAGUC